UACGUAGGGUGCAAGCGUUGUCCGGAAUUAUUGGGCGUAAAGAGCUCGUAGGCGGCUCGUCGCGUCGGCUGUGAAAACCUGGGGCUCAACCCCGGCCUGCAGCCGAUACGGGCGAGCUAGAAUUCGGUAGGGGAGACUGGAAUUCCUGGUGUAGCGGUGAAAUGCGCAGAUAUCAGGAGGAACACCGGUGGCGAAGGCGGGUCUCUGGGCCGAUACUGACGCUGAGGAGCGAAAGCGUGGGAGCAAACAGG
rnacentral:rRNA from 1 species